rnacentral:pre_miRNA from 1 species
UUUUAUGGAUGAGCAAAGAAAGUAGUUUCUUGAAAUGGAAUCUACUCCUGAUAGAGAUGCUAUGAA